GACGAACGCUGGCGGCGUGCUUAACACAUGCAAGUCGAACGGGAAGGCCCUGCUUUUGUGGGGUGCUCGAGUGGCGAAAGGGUGAGUAACACGUGAGUAACCUGCCCUUGACUUUGGGAUAACUUCAGGAAACUGGGGCUAAUACCGGAUAGGAGCUCCUGCUGCAUGGUGGGGGUUGGAAAGUUUCGGCGGUUGGGGAUGUACUCGCGGCUUAUCAGCUUGUUGGUGGGGUAGUGGCUUACCAGGGCUUUGACGGGUAGCCGGCCUGAGAGGGUGACCGGCCACAUUGGGACUGAGAUACGGCCCAGACUCCUACGGGAGGCAGCAGUGGGGAAUAUUGCACAAUGGGCGGAAGCCUGAUGCAGCAACGCCGCGUGCGGGAUGACGGCCUUCGGGUUGUAAACCGAUUUCGCCUGUGACGAAGCGUGAGUGACGGUAAUGGGUAAAGAAGCACCGGCUAACUACGUG
rnacentral:rRNA from 1 species